GCAGACACAUUCCAGCCAAUCAGCAGAAGACCCUCCCUCCCAGACCCUCCCACCUCCUGGACAGCAUCCAUUGUGAAGCUGCAUUCUUAGUGAACUGUCCAGGAGGUGGGAGGGUCUGGGAGGGAGGGUCUGGGAGGGAGGGUCUGAUGCUGAUUGACUGGAAUGUGUCUG